rnacentral:snRNA from 1 species
NNGCUAACUUCAGCAGCACAUAUACUAAAUUGGAAUAAUACAGAGAAGAUUAGCAUAACACCUGUCCAAGGAUAACACACAAAUUCAUGAAGUUUUCCAUAUUUUG